rnacentral:rRNA from 1 species
AUUGAACGCUGGCGGCAGGCCUAACACAUGCAAGUCGAGCGGAUGAAGGGAGCUUGCUCCUGGAUUCAGCGGCGGACGGGUGAGUAAUGCCUAGGAAUCUGCCUGGUAGUGGGGGAUAACGUCCGGAAACGGGCGCUAAUACCGCAUACGUCCUGAGGGAGAAAGUGGGGGAUCUUCGGACCUCACGCUAUCAGAGGAGCCUAGGUCGGAUUAGCUAGUUGGUGGGGUAAAGGCCUACCAAGGCGACGAUCCGUAACUGGUCUGAGAGGAUGAUCAGUCACACUGGAACUUAGACACGGUCCCGACUCCUACGGGAGGCAGCAGUGGGGAAUAUUGGACAAUGGGCGAAAGCCUGAUCCAGCCAUGCCGCGUGUGUGAAGAAGGUCUUCGGAUUGUAAAGCACUUUAAGUUGGGAGGAAGGGCAGUAAGUUAAUACCUUGCUGUUUUGACGUUACCAACAGAAUAAGCACCGGCUAACUUCGUG